rnacentral:snRNA from 1 species
AUCUCUGGUUCCUUUGCAUUUAACCGAGAAAAUCUUUCGCCUUUUACUAAAGAUUUCCGUGCAAGGGAGCGUUUUAUGAGUAUUUGCCAAUUUUUGGAAUCCCCUCGAAAGAGCGGGAU